rnacentral:rRNA from 1 species
AGAGUUUGAUCCUGGCUCAGAUUGAAUGUUGGCGGCGUGGUUUAGGCAUGCAAGUCGUGCGAGAAAGUUUCUUUCGGGAGGUGAGUAGAGUGGCGAACGGGUGAGUAACGCGUGGGUAAUCUGCCCUUCAGAUGGGGAUAACAGUUGUAAAGGGCUGCUAAUACCGGAUACGAUUAUUGUUUAGCUUUGAGCUUUGGUGAAAGGUGGCCUCUACAUGUAAGCUGUCACUGUAGGAUGGUCCCGCGUCUCAUUAGCUUGUUGGUGGGGUAAUGGCCUACCAAGGCAACGAUGGGUAGCUGGUUUGAGAGGGUGUUCGGCCUCACUGGGACUGAGAUACGGCCCAGACUCCUACGGGAGGCAGCAGUGGGGAAUAUUGGGCAAUGGGGGAAAGUCUGACGGAGCGACGCCGUGUGAGGGAUGAAGGCCUUAGGGUCGUAAAGCUCUGUCAGGAGGGAAUAAAUCAUUAGGGUUGAAUAGGCUUUUUUUCUGAAGGUACCUCCAGAGGAAGCGCCGGCUAACUACGUGCCAGCAGCCGCGGUAAUACGUAGGGUGCAAGCGUUGUUCGGAUUCACUGGGUGUAAAGGGUUCGUAGGCGGGGUAUUAAGUCAGGGGUGAAAGCCAUCGGCUCAACCGAUGAAUUGCCUCUGAUACUGGUGUUCUUGAGUCUUUUAGGGGGUGGUGGAAUUCCUGGUGUAGGGGUGAAAUGCGUAGAUAUCUUGGAGGAACACCGGUGGCGAAGGCGGCCACCUGGGACGGUACUGACGCUGAGGAACGAAAGCAUGGGUAUCAAACGGGAUUAGAUACCCCGGUAGUCCAUGCCGUAAACGAUGGGCACUAGGUGUCGGAGGAGCUUACCCCUUCGGUGCCGCAGCUAACGCAUUAAGUGCCCACCUGGGGAGUACGAUCGCAAGGUUGAAACUCAAAGGAAUUGACGGGGGCCCGCACAAGCGGUGGAGCAUGUGGUUUAAUUCGAUGCAACGCGAAGAACCUUACCUGGACUUGACAUGUAUGGGAGUGUCCGUAAGUGGAGAUGUGGUUUUCUUAGGGUUAGUUGACAGGUGCUGCAUGGCUGUCGUCAGCUCGUGUCGUGAGGUGUUGGGUUAAGUCCCGCAACGAGCGCAACCCUUGUUGUUAGUUGCCAUCAGGUAAUGUUGGGAACUCUAGGGAGACUGCCGGUGUUAAACGGGAGGAAGGUGGGGACGACGUCAAGUCAUCAUGGCCCUUACGUCCAGGGCUACACACGUGCUACAAUGGCCGGUACAAAGAGCAGCGAGGCAGCGAUGCCGAGCGAAUCUCAAAAAGCCGGUCUCAGUUCGGAUUGUAGUCUGCAACUCGACUACAUGAAGCUGGAAUCGCUAGUAAUCGCGUAUCAGCAUGACGCGGUGAAUACGUUCCCGGGCCUUGUACACACCGCCCGUCAAGUCACCCGAGUUGGCCGCACCCCAAGUCGCUGAGCUAACCUCUUCGGAGGAGGCAGGUGCCCAAGGUGUAGUUGGUAAGGGGACUAAGUCGUAACAAGGUAGCCGUAUCGGAAGGUGCGGCUGGAUCA